rnacentral:rRNA from 1 species
CACUCCUGCGGGAGGCAGCAGUGGGGAAUUUUGGACAAUGGGGGCAACCCUGAUCCAGCAAUGCCGCGUGAGUGAAGAAGGCCUUCGGGUUGUAAAGCUCUUUUGUCAGGGAAGAAACGGUGGUGGCGAAUAACUACUACUAAUGACGGUACCUGAAGAAUAAGCACCGGCUAACUACGUGCCAGCAGCCGCGGUAAUACGUAGGGUGCAAGCGUUAAUCGGAAUUACUGGGCGUAAAGCGUGCGCAGGCGGUUGUGUAAGUCAGAUGUGAAAUCCCCGGGCUCAACCUGGGAAUUGCAUUUGAGACUGCACGGCUAGAGUGUGUCAGAGGGGGGUAGAAUUCCACGUGUAGCAGUGAAAUGCGUAGAUAUGUGGAGGAAUACCGAUGGCGAAGGCAGCCCCCUGGGAUAACACUGACGCUCAUGCACGAAAGCGUGGGGAGCAAACAGGAUUAGAUACCCUAGUAGUCCC